ACCAGACUCCUACGGGAGGCAGCAGUGGGGGAUAUUGCACGAUGGGGGAAACCCUGAUGCAGCGACGCCGCGUGGGCGAAGAAGUAUUUCGGUAUGUAAAGCCCUAUCAGCAGGGAAGAAGAAAUGACGGUACCUGACUAAGAAGCACCGGCUAAAUACGUGCCAGCAGCCGCGGUAAUACGUAGGGGGCGAGCGUUAUCCGGAUUCACUGGGUGUAAAGGGAGCGUAGACGGCCAUGCAAGCCAGGGGUGAAAGCCCGGGGCCCAACCCCGGGACUGCCCUUGGAACUGCAUGGCUGGAGUGCGGGAGGGGCAGGCGGAAUUCCUGGUGUAGCGGUGAAAUGCGUAGAUAUCAGGAGGAACACCGGCGGCGAAGGCGGCCUGCUGGACCGUGACUGACGUUGAGGCUCGAGAGCGUGGGGAGCAAACAGGAUUAGAUACCCCCGUA
rnacentral:rRNA from 1 species